AGAGUUUGAUCCUGGCUCAGGAUGAACGCUAGCGACAGGCCUAACACAUGCAAGUCGAGGGGCAUCAGGGCUAGGAGCAAUCCUUGCCGCCGGCGACCGGCGCACGGGUGAGUAACGCGUAUGCGACCUGCCCGUUGCAGGGGGAUAAUCGGGAGAAAUCCCGUCUAAUACCGCGUAAUGCCGCGGGGCUGCAUGGCCCUGCGGCCAAAGGGAGCGAUUCCGGCAACGGAUGGGCAUGCGUGACAUUAGCUAGUUGGCGGGGCAACGGCCCACCAAGGCGACGAUGUCUAGGGGUUCUGAGAGGAAGGUCCCCCACACUGGUACUGAGACACGGACCAGACUCCUACGGGAGGCAGCAGUGAGGAAUAUUGGUCAAUGGGCGCGAGCCUGAACCAGCCAAGUCGCGUGAGGGAUGACGGCCCUACGGGUUGUAAACCUCUUUUGUCGGGGAGCAAAUUCCGUUACGUGUAACGGAGUCGAGAGUACCCGAAGAAAAAGCAUCGGCUAACUCCGUGCCAGCAGCCGCGGUAAUACGGAGGAUGCGAGCGUUACCCGGAUUUAUUGGGUUUAAAGGGUGCGUAGGCGGACUGUCAAGUCAGCGGUAAAAUACGGGGGCUCAACCUCCGCCCGCCGUUGAAACUGACGGUCUUGAGUGGGCGAGAAGUAUGCGGAAUGCGUGGUGUAGCGGUGAAAUGCAUAGAUAUCACGCAGAACUCCGAUUGCGAAGGCAGCAUACCGGCGCCCAACUGACGCUGAAGCACGAAAGCGUGGGUAUCGAACAGGAUUAGAUACCCUGGUAGUCCACGCAGUAAACGAUGAAUACUAGCUGUCCGGGGGGAAUGAGCCCUGGGUGGCACAGCGAAAGCGUUGAGUAUUCCACCUGGGGAGUACGCCGGCAACGGUGAAACUCAAAGGAAUUGACGGGGGCCCGCACAAGCGGAGGAACAUGUGGUUUAAUUCGAUGAUACGCGAGGAACCUUACCCGGGCUCAAACGACACAGGAACGUACCUGAAAGGGUUCGGCUCUACGGAGCCUGUGUCGAGGUGCUGCAUGGUUGUCGUCAGCUCGUGCCGUGAGGUGUCGGCUUAAGUGCCAUAACGAGCGCAACCCCCAUCGACAGUUGCUAACAGGUCAGGCUGAGGACUCUGUCGAGACUGCCGGCGCAAGCUGCGAGGAAGGCGGGGAUGACGUCAAAUCAGCACGGCCCUUACGUCCGGGGCGACACACGUGUUACAAUGGCAGGUACAGCGGGAAGCCACCUGGCGACAGGGAGCGGAACCCGAAAGCCUGUCUCAGUUCGGAUUGGAGUCUGCAACCCGACUCCAUGAAGCUGGAUUCGCUAGUAAUCGCGCAUCAGCCACGGCGCGGUGAAUACAUUCCCGGGCCUUGCACACACCGCCCGUCA
rnacentral:rRNA from 1 species